rnacentral:rRNA from 1 species
UACGGUAGGGCGCAAGCGUUAUCCGGAAUUAUUGGGCGUAAAGAGCUCGUAGGCGGUUUGUCGCGUCUGCCGUGAAAGUCCGGGGCUCAACUCCGGAUCUGCGGUGGGUACGGGCAGACUAGAGUGAUGUAGGGGGAGACUGGAAUUCCUGGUGUAGCGGUGAAAUGCGCAGAUAUUGGGAAGAACACCUGAGGCGAAGGCGGGUUGCUGGGCCGACACUGACGCUGAGGCGCGA